AGCAAACGGAGAUGUAGGGGCGAAAAAAAGUACGGCACAAGCCGUAGUUGUUGUCAGCAACAAUUGCAAUGAGAUCUGAUCCUAUUUGCAAUCAGAUUGAAAACACUGACCACCCCCGUUGGAACCAGCACCACCACCGAAAAGCACACAACUCCACUACCGUGUGGUGUAAUGUGUAGUACCACAACGCAGUGUGGAGAGAUGGAGAGCCAACACAGCUCCCUACAGCUCAUUUUACAUCGUUCACCUCUGGGUCCCUUCCCGCCAUCUACUGCGCACACCUUA
ensembl:ncRNA C16E9.25 ncRNA